rnacentral:rRNA from 1 species
UACGAACCGUCCGAACGUUAUUCGGAAUUACUGGGCUUAAAGCGCGUGUAGGCGGAUCGACACGUCCGACGCUGAAAUCCCCCGGCUCAACCGGGGAACAGGCGGGGAUACGAUCGGUCUGGAGGGAGGUAGGGGGGCCUGGAACUUCCGGUGGAGCGGUGAAAUGCGUUGAGAUCGGAAGGAACGCCCGUGGCGAAAGCGAGGCCCUGGACCUUGUCUGACGCUGAGACGCGAAAGCCAGGGGAGCGAACGGG